rnacentral:lncRNA from 1 species
GAGACUAGCAAUAAGCUAGAAACAGAAGAAUUUCAUCAAUUUAUAUGAAAAUUCAAGGGCAGGAAAACCCAAACUACUGUGAAGGAAGUCAGAACAGCUAGCAUGAUUGGGAAUAGUGAUGGACAGAACAGUGCACAUGUGAGGCAUCUGGAGAAUUCGAAAUACUCCAAUUGACAAGUGGUCACUAUUCACUUGUGCCCUGAAAAUGUUUGCCUUUUAUUCUGUAUGUAUUUUAUCUCAGUUGAAGUGAAAUAUAAGAAAAGACCAAAAAUCACCAAAUAUUUGCGGAAACUCAACCCCACUAAGAUGUAAAUAUGACUAAGUAAGUUCUGAAAAUCCAGAAAACUGAUAGAGAAAAUAGAAGGGACAUGUCACUGUGUGCCUCUACCCCUAAGUCACCAUAGAUUUUAUCUCUAUCGGUUUUCCUUCAAAUGCAGAGGCAUUUGAUCUCUGCUCACAGGAGAGCCUCCCCAACCCCUUCCACCGGUUCUCUCCACACAGGGGAUUUGCAUAUUGUUCUCUAGUGAGGACAUUUCCUUCUAAGUCUAAGAUAAAACGUCAGCUGUCAUUUUGCUUCUACUUAUCAGGAUUCAUCAAUUCAACUUCCCAAAAUGACUUUCCCUGCUCAGAUCCUGGGACCACUGAUGCUCUGGGUCACAGGAGCUGUUCAAUUCAACAUGACCUGCAUCAGGCUGACACAUGAAGAACUACUGGGUGCUUUCCCUAUUAAGUGAAGGGUGGUGUGAUAGAUGGACACCCCAGGGCAGCUCUGACCCAGAAUCCUAUUCCAUAGUGAUCAUAUUUAAAUGAAAGCUCAGGAAUAGAUCAGUGAUGGGUCCAGGUGCCCUGAGUUAUAAAAUAAUCAAUGCACUCACUGGUCCUCUCACAAAUGGAAUCUCCUCUUGGCUUGUAGGAUCAUAGCUAUGACUUCCCCACUUUCAAGGCAUGUAAGAGCUUUAGUUUCUCACAGAGAGUGAACAGGAACCCAGAAUAGCUUGCUAGGACCUUGCUCUAUUUGAUCAAAAAGAGUCAGUAUGGACAGAGUUUUUCUAAGCACCACUCAGAAAAAAAUAUUUUAAAAAUUCCCAGGGUGCUUAUGGGCUCAGUCAGUUAAGCAUCUGCCUUUGGCUCAGAUCAUGAUUUUAGGGUCCUGGGAUGGAGCCCCUCAUUGGGCCCCCUGCUCAGUGAGAAGCCUGCUUGUCCCUUUCCCUCUGCUGCUCCCCCUGCUGUAUUCUCUCUCUGUCAAUAAAAGAAUAAAACCUUAAAACAAACAAACAAAGAACCAAAAAAAAUUCCUUUUUCAUCAGGUUCCAUCAUCCCAAGGGAAUUUUUUCCUAAGUAUUCUUUGACCUAAUAAUUGGUCAUGCUAUUUAUGUCAUCACACAUAUGAUAGAACUAAAGUCAUUAAGUCAAGGGAACGAUUUCUAGUUGAGAAAAUAAAGUGUAUAAAAAAAAUAAAUAAAGUGUAUAGAGAUGAUUGCCUCUUCCAGGUAAUGAAUAUCAUGGCAAGUACAAUUAAAUGCAAUGUGUCAAUUCUGGUAGCUUUGAUAGUGUGUGAAAAAAGCAUAUACAAAUCAGGCAGACUGGAGUCCACAAAUCUUUGAACUUAUAACACUUAACAAAAUAUUUUAGAAUAUUGAUAAGUGCAUUAUGAGAUGGAAAGCGAUUAUGGAAGCACAGAGAGGAAACAGAGCAGGAAGACCCGAGGCUCAGCUGAGCCAUAGUCAUCUUACUCCCACACGAUUUAUAGCACCUUGUGAUCUGGAAUUUCUGCUUUGAUAUCAAGCUGGAGAGAAAGCCAAAGUCCCUUAGCAUGUUGAGACUAGUAGAAGAGUCCUACAUGAUGCUUGUAUCCCAAAAGGGCUGUACUCAAAACAAAAUAGUACAAAAUAAAUGAUCUCAUAAAACUGAAAGGGGACACCAAGGAGAAUCAGAAGACAAUUUAAUUGGCUGUUAUACAGAAAUCUUCAAAUAUAGUUGAUUAAAUACGACAAGAUUUCUCUGUCACUAACAGAACACUCCAGAGGUGGGCCAGCUCCCUUGGUUACAGGAAAGUGGCUCAUUAGGUCACUUGGAUUUUCCCCAGCUGGUCACCGUGUAUGGUGAUUAGGGACCUUGCUCCUAAUUUCAGCAGGUGGUCUCAAAUCCUAUUUAUUUAUUUAUUUAUUUUUAAUGUUUUGUUUUUAAGUAAUGUUCACACCCAUUGUGGGACUUAAACUACAACCCUGAGAUCAAGAGACACAUGCUCUACUGACUGAGCCAGCAAAGUGUCCCAAAAUCUAUUCAUCCUUGCACUUAUGGUCACUAUGUCAAAAUACAUAGCACAUCUGAAGGAGAGUCUCUGAAGUCAACAAGAUUUCAUAGCUAAGCAGACCCCUCUGUGUGUCAUAUAUGGUAGAUUAACGGAUGCCAUAGUCAUGAGUUUACUGUUACAUGAGCGUCACAAAAAGUACGUUCCUUGUCCCAAACAAUACUCUUAUUAAUCAGCCAAAAACUCUGCAAACUCUUGGAUGAUGUCACCAAAUGAGACUCACUGAAUCAGGAAGCUUAACUGUAUCUGGAACACAACUAAGCCCAGGAUUGAUGUAUCACAUGCUCUGUGGGGAACUGAUAAGAUAUACAAAAUUAGGAAUAAGUAGUUGGUAGUAUUAGUCCCUGUUGGUGGCAGCUCAGAUACCCAAAGGUGACAAAAAUUAUGUCCACCCUAGUGGGGAUGGUAAUGGUGGGCUCAUGCCAUUGGGCAUAGAGCCUCCACUCAUGUCACCAUGGCUUUGUUACUCAUCAACAUAGUGAGCAAAUACCAUGGAGCUUGAGGCAAGGGCUGAGUAUAGCUCAUCUGCUCAGAAGUACAAGCUUGUUUGUUUGUUGUCUUACCUGUGGUGGAUACUCUGCUAAAUUUUGACCAAA